rnacentral:rRNA from 1 species
CGGGUUAGUGGCGGACGGGUGAGUAACGCGUGAGAAUCUGCCCUCAGGAGGGGGAUAACGGUUGGAAACGGCCGCUAAUACCCCAUAUGCCGAGAGGUGAAAUGAAUUUCGCCUGAGGAUGAGCUCGCGUCUGAUUAGCUAGUUGGUGUGGUAAAGGCUCACCAAGGCUUCGAUCAGUAGCUGGUCUGAGAGGAUGAUCAGCCACACUGGAACUGAGACACGGCCCAGACUCC